rfam:Fungal sp. No.11243 DNA, scaffold: sccafold0003.
UCCUCUUUAGCUCAGUUGGUUAGAGCGUCCGGCUGUUAAUAAUUCCGCAACCGGGAGGUCCGAGGUUCGAACCCUCGAAGUGGAG